AAUAGAUACCCAGGUAGUCCACGCCGUAAACGUUGGAUACUAGAUGUGGCGGUUAUACCAAUGACUGCCGUGCCGAAGCUAACGCAUUAAGUAUCCCGCCUGGGGAGUACGGCCGCAAGGCUAAAACUCAAAGGAAUUGACGGGUCCCCGCACAAGCGGCGGAGCAUGCGGCUUAAUUCGAUGCAACCCGAAGAACCUUACCUGGGUUUGACAUCACGGGAAAAGCUGUAGAAAUACAGUGUCCAUUAGGGCCCGUGACAGGUGGUGCAUGGCUGUCGUCAGCUCGUGUCGUGAGAUGUUGGGUUAAGUCCCGCAACGAGCGCAACCCUUGUCCUAUGUUGCCAGCGGUUCGGCCGGGGACUCAUAGGAGACUGCCGGGGAUAACUCGGAGGAAGGUGAGGACGACGUCAAGUCAUCAUGCCCCUUAUAUCCAGGGCUGCACGCAUGCUACAAUGGCCGGUACAACGGGCAGCGACCCCGCGAGGGUGAGCGAAUCCUAAAAAGCCGGUCCUAGUUCGGAUUGAAGU
rnacentral:rRNA from 1 species